rnacentral:rRNA from 1 species
GGAGGGUGCAAGCGUUAUCCGGAUUCACUGGGUUUAAAGGGUGCGUAGGCGGGCAUUUAAGUCAGUGGUGAAAUACCUGAGCUUAACUUGGGAACUGCCAUUGAUACUAUUUGUCUUGAAUGUCGUGGAGGUUAGCGGAAUAUGUCAUGUAGCGGUGAAAUGCUUAGAUAUGACAUAGAACACCUAUUGCGAAGGCAGCUAACUACGCGAAUAUUGACGCUGAGGCACGAAAGCGUGGGGAUCAAACAGGAUUAGAUACCCUGGUAGUCCACGCCCUAAACGAUGAUUACUCGACAUUGGCGAUACACUGUCAGUGUCUGAGCGAAAGCAUUAAGUAAUCCACCUGGGAAGUACGACCGCAA